rnacentral:piRNA from 1 species
UCUUGACAAAUGAAACAACAGGACUUCA